CAGCUGAACUGACCCCAGCCUCUUCUGAGCGGCCGUGGCGCCGGAAGCAGUCUGGCCUACAGAAUUAUGGAUUCAUUAACAGAUCCUACUGUAUGCUCUGACAGCUAUGACCACAAUGGUCCACCCACAAAUGAAUUAUCAGGCACGAACCCGGAGGCACGUAUCCAUGAAAGGUGAGUUAUGCAUACGUGUGUCUUUAUUUAUGUAAUUAUAAGUGAGCAUAGAAGUUUUCACACACACAGGCACAUAAACA
rnacentral:lncRNA from 1 species